CCUACGGGAGGCUGCAGUGGGGAAUAUUGCACAAUGGGGGAAACCCUGAUGCAGCGACGCCGCGUGAGUGAAGAAGUAAUUCGUUAUGUAAAGCUCUAUCAGCAGGGAAGAAAAUGACGGUACCUGAGUAAGAAGCGCCGGCUAACUACGUGCCAGCCGCCGCGGUAAUACGUAGGGGGCAAGCGUUAUGCGGAUUGACUGGGUGUAACGGGAGCGUAGACGGCAGUGCAAGUCUGGAGUGAAAGGCGGGGGCUCAACCCCAGGACGGCUCUGGAGACUGUACAGCCGGAGUGCAGGAGAGGUAAGUGGAAUUCCUAGUGUAGCGGUGAAAUGCGUAGAUAUUAGGAGGAACACCAGUGGCGAAGGCGGCUUACUGGACUGUAACUGACGUUGAGGCUCGAAAGCGUGGGGAGCAAACAGGAUUAGAUACCCCGGUAGUC
rnacentral:rRNA from 1 species